rnacentral:rRNA from 1 species
GGUGAAGCGAACCCGGGGAACUGAAACAUCUCAGUACCCGGAGGAAAAGACAUCAACAGAGAUUCCCGUAGUAGUGGCGAGCGAACCGGGACCAGGCCAGUGCCUUCAUUUCAACUAGCAAAACACUUUGGAAAGAGUGGCCAUAGUGGGUGACAGCCCCGUAUGCGAAAGUGAUGAUGAAGGACUCGAGUAGGGCGGGACACGUGAAAUCCUGUCUGAACAUGGGGGGACCACCCUCCAAGCCUAAAUACUCGCACAUGACCGAUAGCGAACACAGUACCGUGAGGGAAAGGUGAAAA